rnacentral:rRNA from 1 species
GACGAACGCUGGCGGCGUGCUUAACACAUGCAAGUCGAGCGGAGCGGCGAACGGGUGAGUAACGCGUGAGUAACUUCCCCCCUCUCUGGGAUAACAGUUGGGAACGGCUGCUAAUACCGGCUAGUGGGGGAUGACUCGGGUCGAAUCAGCUUGUUGGUGGGGUAGUGGCCUACAAAGGCGACGACGGGUAGCCCGCCUGAGAGGGCGACCGGGCACAAUGGUCUGAGAUACGGAACAGACGCAUACGUGAGGCAGGAGGGGGGAAUAUUGCACAAUGGGGCAAACCCUGAUGCAGCAACGCGCGUGCGGGAUGACGGCCUUCGGGGUGUAAACCGCUUUCAGCCAUGACGCGGUAGUGGCAGAAGAAGCACCGGCUAACUACGUGCCAGCAGCCGCGGUAAUAC